UACAGAGGGUGCUAGCGUUGUUCGGAAUUAUUGGGCGUAAAGGGCGCGUAGGCGGCUCGGUGUGUCGGGGGUGAAAUCCCACCUCUCAAAGGUGGAAUUGCAUUCGAAACUACCAAGCUGGAGUACCGGAGAGGAUGGUGGAAUUCCUGGUGUAGAGGUGAAAUUCGUAGAUAUCAGGAGGAACACCGGUGGCGAAGGCGGCGUCCUGGACCAAUACUGACACUGAGGAGCGAAAGCCAGGGGAGCAAACGGG
rnacentral:rRNA from 1 species